rnacentral:misc_RNA from 1 species
AAAAAAGGGUCCACUUUAUUUUUUUGUUAUACAAAAAAAAAUUUACAAGGAAAACCUUAAUAAUAAACCGACAAGAAAAAAGAAAAAGGGAAAACAAAACAGUGAAGUACAUGUUAGUACUUUCUAGGGAAAUUCCUGCUUUAAAGCAAAAUAUACCAUGCUAUUUUCUAUAAAAACAAAAACUAAAAAUAGAAAAAUAGGGGAAAAAAGAAACUUCAAAUCCAAUGCUAUUUUCUCAAAAAAAAAAAAUGGUAUGAUGAAUAUGAAAAUUAAUAAAAAA